CGGAGGGUGCAAGCGUUAUCCGGAUUCACUGGGUUUAAAGGGAGCGUAGGUGGGCUUGUAAGUCAGUGGUGAAAUCUCUGGGCUUAACCCGGAAACUGCCAUUGAUACUAUAGGUCUUGAAUUCUCUGGAGGUAAGCGGAAUAUGUCGUGUAGCGGUGAAAUGCUUAGAUAUGACAUAGAACACCCAUUGCGAAGGCAGCUUACUACGGAGACAUUGACACUGAGGCUCGAAAGCGUGGGGAUCAAACAGGAUUAGAUACCCUGGUAGUCCACGCCCUAAACGAUGAUUACUCGACAUUAGCGAUAUUACUGUUAGUGUCUAAGCGAAAGCAUUAAGUAAUCCACCUGGGAAGUACGACCGCAAGGUUG
rnacentral:rRNA from 1 species